rnacentral:miRNA from 1 species
CAAAAGUAAUUGUGCGUUUUGC